CAGUUUUUAAAGUUUGAAGCUGAUAUUUAAAGCUCCCUUUUGUUACAGCUCCACUGACAAUCAGGGACGAGGCGGCACCGCAGCCAAUCAGCGACAACUCUGUUUAUCCUCAUCGACCAUUCCCUCUAGAUUGAACAGAAAGAAUCCUGCUGUAAAUACAUUGUAUAUCUUUAUGUUCUGAGAAGUACUGUUAGGUCUUAGUCGAUAGGGGGACGAGGAGCCAAGAGACACUUGUUUUUUUUUUUUGUUUUUUUUUUUUGUCAGUGGAAGGUUUUUUUUUUGUGUGGAAAGAUUCCCAACAUGGCAUGGCUUUCUGAGAGUUGUAUAUAUCUUGUACUGGACCCUUUUUAAAGAACCAUUGCAGAUUUUUUUUUUUUUUUUUUUUUAUUGUGAGUGGUUGCAUUACGAUGUACAGUUGUGAGAAGCCUGCCAUCCCCAGAAGAUUCUUUUUUUGUGUGUGUGUGUGUGAUCCCACCUGAAAUCAGCCUUUUUGGUGUCAUAUAUUUACCCCAAAUGACUAUGAGCAGCUGGAAACAUGCAGUCGUGUUUCUAAAAUGCUCCACUGUCUCAUUGUAAGCAAUCUUUCAAAGCACAUUGCAGGGAAGUAAUUCUGCUCCAUAAAUGGUUUCCCCACUGAUUUCUUCUCGAAUUGCAGAACUGAAAUGCCAAACUGUUUGGAAACCCUCUCAUCCACGUAAGCAGUACUACGGUAUUUCUUCCUUUUUAAUUGCCUGUUGUCAGUAAACUGGCCAUAAGUGUCCUUGUAUAAGCUAGAGAAAAAAAUAAUUGUUUGUGUAAAGAGAUGUGAAUUCUGAAUUUUUUGAUAAAGACUAUUUUUGAAACUCGUCAUUUAAGGCACUGAUAUGUACAGUAUAUCGAACACACUCAUUUAUCCCCCGUAUAAGUCGUUUGUGUCAAGCUCUUUCAAAAUCCAGACAGGAAUCUGAAUCUUUGACGUUUUUCCCUUACUUGUCGAGAAUCUGACGGCGAAGCCUCCCGCUUCGGUGUGACGCUGGUCUGAGGUCGGACAUGUUUAUCUGCAUGGUCUCUGGCUUGUUGGGUCGAGUGUUCUUGUUUUAUGAAUAAUGUGCAGCUUUAAUUGUAGCUGGUUAAUUUCAAGUCAAGUAAUUCAUAUGAUUACAUUUUUUUUUUGUUUUUUUGCAGUAUACUAUGAUUUGUAAGCAAUCUGAUUAAAUUGUUUUGAUUGUUGUGUGUCAUGGUCCUUAUAAAUAAAAAUAUUUCACA